AUGUGCCUGGAAAUGAUAGGCACUUUCACUUAUAUUUCUUUUCUUUGUGUAGAUUCAGAACAAAAUCUGAGACCAGUGACAAUGGACCUGCAGAAUUAUUCCUUGGUGUCAGAAUUUGUGUUGCAUGGACUCUGCACUUCACAACAUCUACAAAAAUUUUUCUUUGUAUUCUUCUCUGAGAUCUAUGUGGUCACUGUUCUGGGCAACCUUAUCGUUGUGGUCACUGUAAUAUCUGACCCCCGCCUACACUCCUCCCCUAUGUACUUCCUGCUGGGGAAUCUCUCUUUCCUGGACAUAUGGCUGGCCUCAUUUGCCACUCCCAAGAUGAUCAGGGACUUCCUUAGUGACCAAAAGCUCAUCUCCUUCGGAGGAUGUAUGGCUCAGAUCUUCUUCUUGCACUUUGUUGGUGGGGCUGAGAUGGUACUUCUUGUUACCAUGGCCUAUGACAGGUAUGUGGCUAUAUGCAAGCCUUUGCAUUACAUGACAGUGAUGAGCCGGCGGACUUGCGUGGGGCUGGUGUUGGUUUCAUGGGUCAUUGGAUUUGUGCACUCCAUCAGUCAGGUAGCCUUUACUGUAAAUUUACCUUACUGUGGCCCCAACGAGGUGGACAGCUUUUUCUGUGACCUUCCUCUUGUGAUCAAGCUUGCCUGUCUGGACACCUAUGUCUUGGGUAUACUUAUGAUCUCAGACAGUGGGUUGCUUUCCAUGAGCUGUUUUCUUCUCCUCCUGAUCUCCUACACUGUUAUUUUUAUCACUGUCCGACAGCGUGCAGCUGGUGGGGUCUCCAAAGCACUCUCAACUUGCUCUGCACAUAUUAUGGUAGUCACACUCUUCUUUGGGCCCUGCAUUUUCAUUUAUGUGUGGCCUUUUAGUAGGUUCUCUGUGGACAAGCUCCUCUCUGUGUUUUACACCAUUUUUACUCCCCUCUUUAACCCUCUUAUCUACACACUGAGAAAUAAGGAGAUGAAAAUAUCUAUGAAGAAACUGAGAAACCGACAUGUGACUUUUCACUGA
rnacentral:lncRNA from 1 species